AACGCGAAGAACCUUACCAGGUCUUGACAUCCUCUGACCAUCCUAGAGAUAGGACCUUCCCCUUCGGGGGACAGAGUGACAGGUGGUGCAUGGUUGUCGUCAGCUCGUGUCGUGAGAUGUUGGGUUAAGUCCCGCAACGAGCGCAACCCUUAUCCUUAGUUGCCAGCAUUCAGUUGGGCACUCUAAGGAGACUGCCGGUGACAAACCGGAGGAAGGUGGGGAUGACGUCAAAUCAUCAUGCCCCUUAUGACCUGGGCUACACACGUGCUACAAUGGAUGGUACAAAGGGUUGCGAAGCCGCGAGGUGAAGCCAAUCCCAUAAAACCAUUCUCAGUUCGGAUUGCAGGCUGCAACUCGCCUGCAUGAAGCCGGAAUCGCUAGUAAUCGUGGAUCAGCAUGCCACGGUGAAUACGUUCCCGGGUC
rnacentral:rRNA from 1 species